GAUGAACGCUGGCGGCGUGCUUAACACAUGCAAGUCGAACGAAGCAUUUUAACUUGAUUUCUUCGGAAUGAUUGUUACUUUGACUGAGUGGCGGACGGGUGAGUAACGCGUGGGUAACCUGCCUCAUACAGGGGGAUAACAGUUAGAAAUGACUGCUAAUACCGCAUAAGCGCACAGUACCGCAUGGUACAGUGUGAAAAACUCCGGUGGUAUGAGAUGGACCCGCGUCUGAUUAGCUAGUUGGUGGGGUAACGGCCUACCAAGGCGACGAUCAGUAGCCGACCUGAGAGGGUGACCGGCCACAUUGGGACUGAGACACGGCCCAAACUCCUACGGGAGGCAGCAGUGGGGAAUAUUGCACAAUGGGCGAAAGCCUGAUGCAGCGACGCCGCGUGAAUGAAGAAGUAUUUCGGUAUGUAAAGUUCUAUCAGCAGGGAAGAUAAUGACGGUACCUGACUAAGAAGCACCGGCUAGAUACGUGCCAGCCGCCGCGGUAACAC
rnacentral:rRNA from 1 species